GGGACACGGCAGCUCCGCUGUGUCCUUCCUAAAGAUGGUCUCAGCAAACACCACCGUGAUUCCAGGCAGACUAGUCAACGCAUAGUGGUGUUUAAACUCGAAAUUCCAGCUGCUAGGCUCACCCUCAGUGGGCUCAGAGUUCUGUUUGAGAAACGCGCCUGCCCAGAAAAAAUAUUUACACAACCCAGAGUGGGCUGUGGGUGUCACAGCUAGCUUUGCCUGCUCUGCAGGAGUCUUGGGCUCUGUCUGCUUGACCCGGCCUCAUCAAUGCCCUUUGUACCUCAAUUGAGAUCAGCAUAGAGACAAAAUCCACAGCCAAAUCAACUGCCCUGGCUAAGCAGAUUCAAAAUCCGUGACAGUUACUGAGGCCAUUACAAAGCUGAGCUCUUCAACUCCCAUUUCUGUGAAAUUACGCUCAGGAACUCAUAGAAGAGGAGAAAAAUGCCAAGGCAAGAGGGGGCUUGCGGCAUCAUUUUCCCCAGGGAUGGGUUUCCAGUAAGUAAGUGAGCAGACAUCGCAAGUAAGCAGACACGUGAGGAAAGACACCCAGAAUGACAAGAGGUAGAAGCCACAACGGAGGAAGGCAGCUGAUCGCAAACGCAAAGACGGUGUAAGGGCUCAUGCCUGUCAUCCCAGCACUCGGGAGGAAAGAGGACUGAGUUCAAGGGCAGCCUGGAGACCCUGUCUCAGAAGAACCACAACAAUGAAGGCAAAGUUCACAGCUUUGCCUAUUUUUUUCCCUCACACCUGUCUUGUGAAGAAAAGAAGGCACGGGUUAUUAUCUUCAUCUGACAAAUCAGCCACUUGUUAUUUGGC